rnacentral:rRNA from 1 species
UACGUAGGGUGCGAGCGUUAAUCGGAAUUACUGGGCGUAAAGCGUGCGCAGGCGGUUUUGUAAGACAGGCGUGAAAUCCCCGAGCUCAACUUGGGAAUUGCGCUUGUGACUGCAAGGCUAGAGUGUGUCAGAGGGGGGUAGAAUUCCACGUGUAGCAGUGAAAUGCGUAGAGAUGUGGAGGAAUACCGAUGGCGAAGGCAGCCCCCUGGGACAUGACUGACGCUCAUGCACGAAAGCGUGGGGAGCAAACAGG